rfam:Cricetulus griseus cell line CHO-K1, whole genome shotgun sequence.
UUGCAAGGGCCCGAGAGACCUUACCUCAUCGAAGCAAAAGGUUCGCUGAAUUAUGAUUGCGUGGCACGCUCGGUCAAGCUCGUGUGGUAUCACACACAUGGCGCCAGGUCACACCAAAAGCUCCUCCGUCACCUCCACAUCAGUGAG